rnacentral:rRNA from 1 species
UAAAAGUCGUAACAAGGUUUCCGUAGGUGAACCUGCGGAAGGAUCAUUAUCGUACAACCGAGGUGCGAGGGCUGUCGCUGACCUUUAAAAAGGUCGUGCACGCUCAAGCACUCUCACACAUCCAUCUCACCUUUGUGCAUCACCGCGUGGGUCCCCUUUGCAAAGGAGGGCUUGCGUUUUCACAUAAAACUUGAUACAGUGUAGAAUGUUUUAUUUGCGGUCACACGCAAUCAAUACAACUUUCAACAACGGAUCUCUUGGCUCUCGCAUCGAUGAAGAACGCAGCGAAAUGCGAUACGUAAUGUGAAUUGCAGAAUUCAGUGAAUCAUCGAAUCUUUGAACGCACCUUGCGCCCCUUGGCAUUCCGAGGGGCACACCCGUUUGAGUGUCGUGAAAUCAUCAAAAACCUUUCUCUUUGAUCAUCUUUGGUCGGGAGAGGGAUGUUUUUGGACUUGGAGGAUCCAUGCUUGCUUUCACUGUUGAAAGCGAGCUCCUCUCAAAUGAAUCAGUGGGGUCUGCUUUGCUGGUCCUUGACGUGAUAAGAUGUUUCUACGUUUUGGAUUUAGCACUGUCCCUUAGAUGCCUGCUCCUAACUGUCUCACGGACAAUGAUGGUGCUCUGGUCACCGCCGUCUACAUUGGUGGAGGAGGCUGGACCCACAAAAGAAAAAACCUUGACCUCAAAUCGG